UGUAUACAGUCAAGGAUGAUGAAAAUGCACGAGUUGGGCAACACCUACAGGUACCUGAAUUUGUGUCUGAAGGCUGGAAAUUGGAUAUUCAGAGUACUGGUCUAUCUCUUGUGUUUCAUUCCCAUGAAGAAUUUGAUACAAGUACGUUGCAGAUCAUUAGAAAUGAAGAUCUCGAAGAGCUAAAGGAGUUGGGUUCAGGUACAUUUGGGACUGUUUACCAUGGAAAAUGGAGAGGAACAGAUGUUGCCAUCAAGCGG